rnacentral:rRNA from 1 species
UGGGGAAUUUGGGACAAUGGGCGAAAGCCUGAUCCAGCAAUGCCGCGUGUGUGAAGAAGGCCUUCGGGUUGUAAAGCACUUUUGUCCGGAAAGAAAUCCUUGGCUCUAAUACAGUCGGGGGGAUGACGGUACCGGAAGAAUAAGCACCGGCUAACUACGUGCCAGCAGCCGCGGUAAUACGUAGGGUGCAAGCGUUAAUCGGAAUUACUGGGCGUAAAGCGUGCGCAGGCGGUUUGCUAAGACCGAUGUGAAAUCCCCGGGCUCAACCUGGGAACUGCAUUGGUGACUGGCAGGCUAGAGUAUGGCAGAGGGGGGUAGAAUUCCACGUGUAGCAGUGAAAUGCGUAGAGAUGUGGAGGAAUACCGAUGGCGAAGGCAGCCCCCUGGGCCAAUACUGACGCUCAUGCACGAAAGCGUGGGGAGCAAACAGGAUUAGAUACCCUGGUAGUCCAGCGCCCUAAACGAUGUCAACUAGUUGUUGGGGAUUCAUUUCCUUAGUAACGUAGCUAACGCGUGAAGUUGACCGCCUGGGGAGUACGGUCGCAAGAUU